CCUACGGGGGGCAGCAGUGGGGGAUAUUGCACAAUGGGGGGAACCCUGAUGCAGCGACGCCGCGUGGGUGAAGAAGCGCCUCGGCGCGUAAAGCCCUGUCAGCAGGGAAGAAAAUGACGGUACCUGAAGAAGAAGCCCCGGCUAACUACGUGCCAGCAGCCGCGGUAAUACGUAGGGGGCAAGCGUUAUCCGGAUUUACUGGGUGUAAAGGGGGCGCAGACGGCGAUGCAAGCCAGGAGUGAAAGCCCGGGGGCCAACCCCGGGACUGCUCUUGGAACUGCGGGGCUGGAGUGCAGGAGGGGCAGGCGGAAUGCCUGGGGUAGCGGGGAAAUGCGUAGAUAUCAGGAGGAACACCGGUGGCGAAGGCGGCCUGCUGGACUGCAACUGACGUUGAGGCCCGAAAGCGUGGGGAGCAAACAGGAUUAGAUACCCGGGUAGUC
rnacentral:rRNA from 1 species